rnacentral:RNase_P_RNA from 1 species
CCAGCAGGCCACCUUAUCGCUGCGAGCUUGUUUGUACAGGUUCGAAGAGGAAAGUCUGGACACCAUAGUGCGGCAUAGCGGGUAACGCCCGUCCGUCGAAAGGCGAGGACAAGUGCAACAGAAAGCAAGUACAGUUCGGCUGUAGUGAAAUCAGGUAAACUCUAUGCGGUGAAACGUCAUGUAAACCAAUGUUUGAGGGCUGCACGCUCGAGUUGGAGGGUAGGCGGUUCGAGCCUUUGGGUAACUAAAGGCCUAGAUAAAUGAUAAGGGUAUACAGAAUCCGGCUUAUGGCCUGCUUUUAUU